CCCCAUGGAUCUAGGUGAGGACAGGCGCUCCUGCUUUCCCGCCCAAAUGUUGUAUUUUCCAAGCCUACCCUUGCCGGCCACGCCCCCAACCUGGGCCUAUAAAAACCGCCCCCCGCAGGCCCUAGCGGGCAGACACACUGAAGUCGCUAGACAUUUGAGGAACACAUCCGGGGAAGAAGACACAGGUGGCUGGUCAUGGAGAGCCCGCUGGGGGAAGAGCACACAGACAGGCACCGGCAGGCCAUUGACCAGCGGGACAAGGUGGGCUCAAUGUCAUCACAAGGGUGCUUAAGAGGGAAAGAGGAAGCCAUGAGGGUCAGAGUCAAAGGAAGACUUGAAGAUACUACACUGCGGACUUUAAAGAUGAAGGAAGGGGCGAAAACCAAGAAUGUGGGAAGCCUCUAGAAGCUAGAGAAGGCAAGGAAACAAAUUUUCCACUAGAGCCUCCAGAAGGAACACAGCCCUGCUGACCCACUGUAAUGUCUGACCUCUAGAUGUGUAAGGGUAGUAAGACUGAAAGUCUCAGAAAGGCACUGUUAAAUUCUUAUUCCUCAACUAUGCAACUCAAAACUGGGGUCCUCAGCAGUGAGCGAGGGGUGAGAGAAGACACUGUAUAAACAUGGCACAUCCUCCUGGAAAGUCAACUUUACUCAAAGGUUCUUACACACAGUGACAGCUAGCAGAGUCUAAAAUGCUGACAUUAUGACUUAGAGAUGUGAUAAAGAGAAACAUCUAUUGCAUUUUCUGUAAGUAAAUGUGGUGCCGGCAUUGAGAGAACAUACGUAAUCAGAUACCUGUUCUCCCUGAGUUUCUUAAUUUAAGCCUCGCGAUUCCUAAUUAGCAGUUAGAUUGCAUCCAUUGUUAUUUUGUCUUUGGUUAUCAAUGAUGAUCAACCUUUGCUAAACAAAGAUAUGUCAUCAUGCUGGGGACACUCAUGGAUUUUUUUUUAAAGGUUUUAACAUUUGAUAAUAGGUUUUCCAAUAGCUUGAAGGGUAGCUUUUAACAUUUCUUUUCCAGCUGAAGUAUUUCCUGAGUUCUGUCCAAGCCCUCUGUAGUUAAAGAAAAGGCUUUUUGACACUGAAUAGACAAUGUUGUGGCUUUUUUUUUCCUUCUUCAGACAAAUGUAUAGGCAUUUAGACCGCCACGUUGUACUCUCGUAAUUGAGAUACCUUGCAGAAAUGGCAAUUAAGGGUGACUCGUGUCAAAAAUAUUCAGGACAAAUUACAUUUUACUGAUUUUUAAAAACUUUCAAAGGUACUCUCUCCUCUUUCUUUCUCCUUUCUCUCUUCCUGCCUCCCUCCCACCCGCUCCUCGUUUUUUCUUUUAAAUAUUAAGUAAACUAUUUGCAUUUUUACGUCUCAUCAAAGUUGUUCCAGGUUUUUUCUGGGUUUACUGAAACUCCAAAUCGACUACUCAGAUCAAAACAAUUAGUGAAGUCUAAGGUAUUCUUAAUUCCUGAAAUGAAAACAGAAUGGACGUUCGGGACGUUCUGUUUUGCUCUGGCUACCCGCUUGGCUUCUCGCUCAGAAUAUUCUUGCUCUCAAGUUAGUUCCAGUUCUGUUUAUUUUGUCCUGAGCUCAGUGAACUUUCCAAAGCCCUACUCUUCAAACAACACUUUUUUUCCCCCGCCCCGUGAGCUGGAGUUUAUUUUGUGCUCACCCUUCAUUCUGUGAGUUGUGAAUAAUUUUAACACAAAGAAAAAAAAAUCUCCUCCUGACCACGGAGAGAAGAGGGGAUUUUAGAAUAAAGAUAAAAAUUGCUGUUUUAGCCCCCAAAGCAAAGGACUUGGGAAAGAAGAGAAAAGGGGGGAAAAUAGAACAGCAAAGGAAAAAAAAAAAAAAAAAAAA
rnacentral:lncRNA from 1 species